rnacentral:rRNA from 1 species
GCGUGGGAACGUGCCCUUCUCUACGGAAUAGCCCCGGGAAACUGGGAGUAAUACCGUAUACGCCCUUUGGGGGAAAGAUUUAUCGGAGAAGGAUCGGCCCGCGUUGGAUUAGGUAGUUGGUGGGGUAAUGGCCCACCAAGCCGACGAUCCAUAGCUGGUUUGAGAGGAUGAUCAGCCACACUGGGACUGAGACACGGCCCAGACUCCUACGGGAGGCAGCAGUGGGGAAUCUUAGACAAUGGGGGCAACCCUGAUCUAGCCAUGCCGCGUGAGGAUGAAGGCCUUCGGGUUGUAAACUCC